rnacentral:snoRNA from 1 species
AUUGCAAUGACGAGAUUAAACACAAUGAGAGUGUUAAUGGCAGUGGAUUCAGAUCCGUGAGCCUAUAUAAAAAACGACUUCUCCUUCAUCUGAGCACA